UAACCGGACGGCUGCGGAAGAGGCAAAGUAGCCCCAACCACGCAGAGCAAAGACAGCCUGGUCUAGAGCACAAGCGGUCCUCAGAGAGCAAUUGCCCUCCCAUUAUGCCUCUGCCUCUGGCAGCCACUGCUGAUGAUCAAAAGCUUUUAAUUGCUCUUUGCUGUAUUUAACAGAGAUUCCUGUCAUACACGAAAUUCCAGCUGAUCACAAAGAAGUCCUGUCCUAUGAAACCAGAGAUAAAAUAGGAAUUUGUCCAAGUCAGAGUUUGGAAAAAACCCAGAAUUCCAGGCUCGGCCUGAUGGUGUUUGCUCUCCGUGCUGCUUCUGGCCACAGACGAGAAGGACACAGUCAUAAAAUUGUGAAGAAGACAGUUAAGAUCCAUGCUGAUGGGAAAAGAGAAUCAGCUAUGCAUUGUACUCUACUGGACAGAGCCUUUCUGUGGCGCAGCGAGGAGUUAUUGAGGUGCAUAAUAAACAUAACCCGUGAACUACAUUCACAGCCAAGAUGUGCUUCAAUCUUUGAAGAGAAAAUUCCUAGAGUUUCUCAUUGAUGUGGCCUAUCAGGGUAUGAGGCUCUUUCCUAGUACAUGCAGAUGCGUACACACACACACACACACACACACACACACUUCUACAUAUAAUUCAUGCUUGUCAUAGAUGUGUCCUUGAAAAAAUCAACUUUUUACUGCAGUCAUUUUUAACAUCUUUAGUAAAUGAGUUAAAAGUUGCAUGAAGAUCUUAUCAGUUCAUUUCCUUUAAAAAUUUUGUGAUUAAAAUCCUGACUUAUAAUCCUCUGACAAGAUUUUAGGUAGUUUAAUUGUUUUGAUUUAUUGUCACUGGUAUUUUUAAAAAAGCUUUGCAAUUAUUUCUGAAAAGCUUAAUUUCUAGGGAAUUAUUAUUUCUUUGUUGGUAAAGCACAAUGGGUAUUAAUGUUUAUCUUCUUAGGAAUACUGUAUUAUAAUUUUAUGAGAAAAUAAGUAAAAAUAUAGUAUAUUAUA